CUACUGAAUCAUUAUGAGUCAUUAAUUUGGUGAUUAUGAUAACAUAAGGGAAAAAAAAUGAUAUUACCUUAUUAUUAGUGUUGUCCAAAACUGGUGCCAGAAGACUCGGUAAGACCAGAGACGCAAACGUUAGUCAUCUUAAUCAGGCGUAAAGGGUGUGUAGGCUGCUUUAAAAGUUUAAAUCUUUUUAAUAGCUCUUUUGCCGUUGUCCUGCCAUUAUUUAUUUUAUUUAUAAAAUAAUAAACAAUAAUGAAUAUAAAGGCAGUACAUUUUUAAUUUUAUUAAUAUUAAUUUAAUUUAAUAAUUAUAAAGGGGACAAAAAAGAUAUCCCGGUUUAAGUAAAAAGAAUAAAAUGAAUUAAAGCUAGAAUCAAAUUGAGGAUAAACCAAAUAAUACUUAGAGUAGGGCCGAUAUCCGCAGAUACUAAGGGGAAUACUAAAGGUGAAAGCUUUUUAUCUACUAUUGAUUGACGCUGAGAAACGAAGGUGAGAACAGGAAAUAGGAUUUGAUACCCAGAUACCUCUCACUGUCAACGAUGAAUGGUGGUUGUUAGUUUUAAUAAAAAACUGGUAACGAUGUUAACACGAAUAACCAUUCCGCCUUGCGAGUACGGUUGCAAAACUGAAACCAAAAAAAUUAGUCGGUU
rnacentral:rRNA from 1 species